AUAAUAAUCACUCAGUGAUGAACUUCGAUGUCAGGAGCGAACCUCCGGAAACAGUGGGGUUCCUCGAGGAAUACCUGAUGUGUUCUGAUGAGCAACCACAGGAGCCACGAGGAUAUCUUUGUCACUGUUCUUUUGCUGUGAGGAGACACCAUGACCACUGCACCUCUUAUAAAGGAAAACAUUUAAUUGGGGCUGCCUUACAGUUUCAGAGGUUUAGUCCAUUAUUGUCAUGGCAAGAAACAUGGCAACACGCAGGAGGACAUGGUGCUGCUGGAGGAGAUGAGAGUUGCACAUCUGGAUCCA
rnacentral:lncRNA from 1 species